AGUGAACGCUGGCGGCAGGCCUAACACAUGCAAGUCGAACGGCAGCACAGUAAGAGCUUGCUCUUCCGGGUGGCGAGUGGCGGACGGGUGAGGAAUAUAUCGGAAUCUACUUUUUCGUGGGGGAUAACGUAGGGAAACUUACGCCAAUACCGCAUCCGACGUACGGGUGAAAGCAGGGGAUCUUCGGACCUUGCGCGAUUGAAUGAGCCGAUGUCGGAUUAGCUAGUUGGCGGGGUAAAGGCCCACCAAGGCGACGAUCGGUAGCUGGUCUGAGAGGAUGAUCAGCCACACUGGAACUGAGACACGGUCCAGACUCCUACGGGAGGCAGCAGUGGGGAAUAUUGGACAAUGGGCGCAAGCCUGAUCCAGCCAUACCGCGUGUGUGAAGAAGGCCUUCGGGUUGUAAAGCCCUUUUGUUGGGAAAGAAAAGCAGCAGGUUAAUACCCCGCUGUUCUGACGGUACCCAAAGAAUAAGCACCGGCUAACUUCGUG
rnacentral:rRNA from 1 species